rnacentral:lncRNA from 1 species
AUCGAGAUACGGCUUGAGCAAGGUAUAAUCUAAUGAAUGACGAGUAGGUAAUGGCGGAAGAGGCGCUAUUCUUUGAAACGAAGAAACGAAGGAAGAUGAAGAAGACGACAGAAGAAAGAAAGAGACGAAGAAGAGAUUUCGUUGUAGAAGACGAAAAAGAGAUAAAAGGGAUAGGAGAGACAAAAAAAAUGAGAAGCUUGGGGAAGAAGAAAAGGCCGUCGUAUCGAACUGUCGCAUCGAAGCAAGUUUCGAGGUCGGCUAUAAUGAUGAAUAGACAACGACAAUUAAGACAACCUAAUUAAUGCCGCAUGUAAGAAAAAAUUAGAGAAUAUGAUCGGGGCCGUAAAGAAGAGAAUAAGCGGCCAAGAUUAAACCGUACAGAAGAUUAUCAAAUACUCGU